rnacentral:rRNA from 1 species
UUGAACGCUGGCGGCAUGCCUUACACAUGCAAGUCGAGCGGCAGCGCGGGGGCAACCCUGGCGGCGAGCGGCGAACGGGUGAGUAAUACAUCGGAACGUGUCCUUUCGUGGGGGAUAACCAGUCGAAAGACUGGCUAAUACCGCAUGAGAUCUCACGAUGAAAGCGAGGGACCGCAAGGCCUCGCGCGAUUGGAGCGGCCGAUGUCGGAUUAGCUAGUUGGCGGGGUAAAAGCCCACCAAGGCGACGAUCCGUAGCUGGUUUGAGAGAACGACCAGCCACACUGGGACUGAGACACGGCCCAGACUCCUACGGGAGGCAGCAGUGGGGAAUUUUGGACAAUGGGCGCAAGCCUGAUCCAGCCAUGCCGCGUGUGUGAAGAAGGCCUUCGGGUUGUAAAGCACUUUCGGCCGGAACGAAAUCGCCCGUGUUAACAGCGCGGGUGGAUGACGGUACCGGAAGAAGAAGCACCGGCUAACUACGU